GGAGCAGUACCGAAGCGGUUAUAACGGGGCGGAUUUGAAAUCCGUUAGCCAUCCGUGGCACGUGGGUUCGAAUCCCACCUGCUCCGCCA
rnacentral:tRNA from 1 species